CCCCUGGCGGUCCAGUGGUUAGGACUCAGCACUUUGACUGCUGUGAGCCAGGGUUCAAUCCCUGGUCAGGGGA
rnacentral:tRNA from 2 species